UUCCUGUUUCCGGCAUCCGGAAAUGUUAUCAUGUCCAUUUCCUGCACCGUUUUUUUUGUAAAUAUUAUAAAAAGAUAUCAACAUUUGUUUUUAAAAUCACAGUCUAACCUGUAUAUUACGAUUUUAAACAUAAAAGCACCACACCACACUGUGUAGAUAUCUGUGAGAAUAUUUGUUUCAGCAUGAAACCUAUUUAUCCAAAGAGGGAGUGCUCCGAUAUAAAUUUAUAACAGC
rnacentral:lncRNA from 1 species